GUAAAUGUGAAAACCAAAGGGAUGGAGUGAGAAUAUAGAGUGAGAGGGAGUGGGGGGCUCUUAAGUCCGUUUGUUCUGGGCUUGAAUCCCACCUGUGGAAUUUACAUAUAGCAUGUGACCCUCAGCCUCAGCUUACACUCUCUAAAAUGGGGGUGGUAGGCUCUGUCUCGCAGGGUUAUGAAGAAUCAAGGAAACGGUGUUUGCACGAGAGCUAGCAGUGGCAGAACACAGAAUGCCGUCUUCAAACUCAAAGAGGCUCCAAAAAUAAGGAUCUGAAUAGGAUAGUGAGGGGCCUAGAAAUGCCCUGUGAGGAAAGGAGUAAGAGACCCAGUCUCUGAAGAGUGGCCACAGAGGAGGGAGGACUGACGUGAAGCCAUCUGAAGAGUGGCCACGGAGGAGGGAGAACCGACAUGAAGCCAUCUGAAGAGUGGCCACGGAGGAGGGAGGACCGACAUGAAGCCAUCUGAAGAGUGGCCACGGAGGAGGGAGGACCGACAUGAAGCCAUCUGAAGAGUGGCCACGGAGGAGGGAGGACCGACGUGAAUCCAUCUGAAGAGUGGCCACGGAGGAGGGAGGACCGACGUGAAUCCAUCUGAAGAGAGGCCACGGAGGAGGGAGGACCGACAUGAAGCCAUCUGAAGAGUGGCCACGGAGGAGGGAGGACCGACGUGAAUCCAUCUGAAGAGUGGCCACCGAGGAGGGAGGACCGACGUGAAGCCAUCUGAAGAGUGGCCACGGAGGAGGGAGGACCGACAUGAAUCCAUGUGAAGAGUGGCCACUGAGGAGGGAGGACCGACAUGAAUCCAUGUGAAGAGUGGCCACUGAGGAGGGAGGACCGACGUGAAGCCAUCUGAAGAGUGGCCACGGAGGAGGGAGGACUGACGUGAAUCCAUCUGAAGAGUGGCCACGGAGGAGGGAGGACUGACGUGAAUCCAUCUGAAGAGUGGCCACGGAGGAGGGAGGACUGACGUGAAUCCAUCUGAAGAGUGGCCACGGAGGAGGGAGAACCGACAUGAAGCCAUCUGAAGAGUGGCCACGGAGGAGGGAGGACCGACAUGAAGCCAUCUGAAGAGUGGCCACGGAGGAGGGAGGACCGACAUGAAGCCAUCUGAAGAGUGGCCACGGAGGAGGGAGGACUGACGUGAAUCCAUCUGAAGAGUGACCAUGGAGCAGGGAGGACCGAUGUGAAGCCAUCUGAAGAGUGACCAUGGAGGAGGGAGGACUGACGUGAAUCCAGCAUGUGAGCCCGGGAGAUGGCACAUCCAGAACCAGUGGGUGCAAGGCCCAGGGCAGCCGAAGUCUUCUCCACCUAAGGGGUUUCGGCAGAGUUGUCUAAAACUCAAUACUCCGCCUUACUACAGACCGUGUUCCCCACCAGAAGAACUGAGCUCACUUACGCAGUCAACAAAUACCACCUAUGGGCUGUCCCCACUUGGAUGUUGGCUGGGCUCCACAACUUCAUAGGUCCUGAACAAGAUGCUUGAUUUCCCUCUUCGAACCUGUCUUCCUCACUGCAGUCUGUGCUACGACCAUCCACUCCAUAGCGGAAGCCCAAACCCGCUAGUAGCCUCAAUUUCUUCCCUCGCCUCGUAUCACACCCCUCCCAUCCCAUUCAUGAACAAACUCUAUAGAUUCUCUCUCCAGAUAUGUCUCACAUCCCUCCACUUCUUUUGUCUCUGCAGCCCUCAGUGCAAGCGCCUGCCCCCUCCCACCUGGCUUCCUGCAGGAACCACCCAGCUUGCCUCCUUGCUUCCUGUCUCACUCCACCUAGUCC
rnacentral:lncRNA from 1 species